AACGAACGCUGGCGGCAGGCUUAACACAUGCAAGUCGAGCGCCCCGCAAGGGGAGCGGCAGACGGGUGAGUAACGCGUGGGAACGUACCCUUUGCUACGGAAUAGCUCCGGGAAACUGGAAUUAAUACCGUAUGUGCCCUACGGGGGAAGGAUUUAUCGGCAAAGGAUCGGCCCGCGUUGGAUUAGCUAGUUGGUGAGGUAAUGGCCUACCAAGGCGACGAUCCAUAGCUGGUCUGAGAGGAUGAUCAGCCACAUUGGGACUGAGACACGGCCCAAACUCCGACGGGAGGCAGCAGUGGGGAAUAUUGGACAAUGGGCGCAAGCCUGAUCCAGCCAUGCCGCGUGAGCGAUGAAGGCCUUAGGGUUGUAAAGCUCUUUCACCGGAGAAGAUAAUGACGGUAUCCGGAGAAGAAGCCCCGGCUAACUUCGUGCCAGCCGCCGCAGUAAUAC
rnacentral:rRNA from 1 species